GAUUGAACGCUGGCGGCAGGCCUAACACAUGCAAGUCGAGCGGUAGCACAGAGAGCUUGCUCUCGGGUGACGAGCGACGGACGGGUGAGUAAUGUCUGGGAAACUGCCUGAUGGAGGGGGAUAACUACUGGAAACGGUAGCUAAUACCGCAUAACGUCGCAAGACCAAAGUGGGGGACCUUCGGGCCUCAUGCCAUCAGAUGUGCCCAGAUGGGAUUAGCUAGUAGGUGGGGUAAUGGCUCACCUAGGCGACGAUCCCUAGCUGGUCUGAGAGGAUGACCAGCCACACUGGAACUGAGACACGGUCCAGACUCCUACGGGAGGCAGCAGUGGGGAAUAUUGCACAAUGGGCGCAAGCCUGAUGCAGCCAUGCCGCGUGUGUGAAGAAGGCCUUCGGGUUGUAAAGCACUUUCAGCGGGGAGGAAGGCGAUAAGGUUAAUAACCUUGUCGAUUGACGUUACCCGCAGAAGAAGCACCGGCUAACUCCGUGCCAGCAGCCGCGGUAAUACGGAGGGUGCAAGCGUUAAUCGGAAUUACUGGGCGUAAAGCGCACGCAGGCGGUCUGUCAAGUCGGAUGUGAAAUCCCCGGGCUUAACCUGGGAACUGCAUUCGAAACUGGCAGGCUAGAGUCUUGUAGAGGGGGGUAGAAUUCCAGGUGUAGCGGUGAAAUGCGUAGAGAUCUGGAGGAAUACCGGUGGCGAAGGCGGCCCCCUGGACAAAGACUGACGCUCAGGUGCGAAAGCGUGGGGAGCAAACAGGAUUAGAUACCCUGGUAGUCCACGCCGUAAACGAUGUCGAUUUGGAGGUUGUGCCCUUGAGGCGUGGCUUCCGGAGCUAACGCGUUAAAUCGACCGCCUGGGGAGUACGGCCGCAAGGUUAAAACUCAAAUGAAUUGACGGGGGCCCGCACAAGCGGUGGAGCAUGUGGUUUAAUUCGAUGCAACGCGAAGAACCUUACCUGGUCUUGACAUCCACAGAACUUUCCAGAGAUGGAUUGGUGCCUUCGGGAACUGUGAGACAGGUGCUGCAUGGCUGUCGUCAGCUCGUGUUGUGAAAUGUUGGGUUAAGUCCCGCAACGAGCGCAACCCUUAUCCUUUGUUGCCAGCGGUCCGGCCGGGAACUCAAAGGAGACUGCCAGUGAUAAACUGGAGGAAGGUGGGGAUGACGUCAAGUCAUCAUGGCCCUUACGACCAGGGCUACACACGUGCUACAAUGGCAUAUACAAAGAGAAGCGACCUCGCGAGAGCAAGCGGACCUCAUAAAGUAUGUCGUAGUCCGGAUUGGAGUCUGCAACUCGACUCCAUGAAGUCGGAAUCGCUAGUAAUCGUAGAUCAGAAUGCUACGGUGAAUACGUUCCCGGGCCUUGUACACACCGCCCGUCACACCAUGGGAGUGGGUUGCAAAAGAAGUAGGUAGCUUAACCUNUCGGGAGGGCGCUUACCACUUUGUGAUUCAUGACUGGGGUGAAGUCGUAACAAGG
rnacentral:rRNA from 1 species